UACGGAGGGUGCAAGCGUUAUCCGGAUUCACUGGGUUUAAAGGGUGUGUAGGCGGGUAUUUAAGUCAGGGGUGAAAUCUCCAGGCUCAACCUGGAAACUGCCAUUGAUACUAUUUACCUUGAAUUCUGUUGAGGUGGGCGGAAUACAUCAUGUAGCGGUGAAAUGCUUAGAUAUGAUGUAGAACACCAAUUGCGAAGGCAGCUGGCUACACAAAUAUUGACACUGAGGCACGAAAGCGUGGGGAUCAAACAGG
rnacentral:rRNA from 1 species